rnacentral:ncRNA from 2 species
CUUCAGGCAUGUGCGGAUGGUUCCCGAAUCCAGCAUCUGGAUCGGGAUUAAAAGGGAACACGGUGAGGCGUAGCCAACAGGCACCAAAUCCGUGACUGCCCCCGCAACUGUGAGCGGCGAGCGAACCUGAAAGUGCCACUGGGGAAACCCCGGGAAGGAUCAGGCAAGCUGCGACCCGCAAGUCAGGAGACCUGCCAUUUCACUUUCAACCUC